UAGAAUAAGGAUGACCAUAUAUUUUUCUAAUUAUGAAUUUGUUCAAUUUUGUUCAAACUGCAGAAGUUAUUCUGAAGUAAUGGUUGUCACCUGACAGCAGUUCCUCCCUUCCAAGCAGACAGUUGUUUGCAUAAAGCUUCGCUUCCUGCUUGUCAAUUUACGUGAUUUGGUAUUUAUGCCCUUGAUGCGGGAAGUGAUGGACCGCUGGCUGCAGGCUCAGCGCUGGAUCUUGCAGAAUCCCAAGCUGUGUUAUCUCAGCAGAGUAUCUGCAUAAUAGACAGACAUCAGCUGAAUCUAAAUCACAACACUUUGCUGCAUU
rnacentral:lncRNA from 1 species